rnacentral:rRNA from 1 species
AACACAUGCAAGUCGAACGGGCGUAGCAAUACGUCAGUGGCAGACGGGUGAGUAACACGUGGGAACGUACCUCUUGGUUUGGAACAACACAGGGAAACUUGUGCUAAUACCGGAUAAGCCCUUACGGGGAAAGAUUUAUCGCCGAGAGAUCGGCCCGCGUCUGAUUAGCUAGUUGGUAGGGUAAUGGCCUACCAAGGCGACGAUCAGUAGCUGGUCUGAGAGGAUGAUCAGCCACAUUGGGACUGAGACACGGCCCAAACUCCUACGGGAGGCAGCAGUGGGGAAUAUUGGACAAUGGGGGCAACCCUGAUCCAGCCAUGCCGCGUGAGUGAUGAAGGCCCUAGGGUUGUAAAGCUCUUUUGUGCGGGAAGAUAAUGACGGUACCGCAAGAAUAAGCCCCGGCUAACUUCGUGCCAGCCGCCGCGGUAAUAA